rfam:Microbacterium esteraromaticum strain B Mb 05.01 genome assembly, contig: Scaffold21
GGCAGGGUAGCUCAGCUGGUUAGAGCGCACGACUCAUAAUCGUGAGGUCGCGGGUUCAAGCCCCGCUCCUGCUA